rnacentral:lncRNA from 1 species
GUUGUGAACAUCUUCCAUUAUGUUUCCCAGAAGAAGAACAGAGUGAGAAUGACUACUGCAGAGAACGUGGAAAGAAACAGAGGGGGAUGCCAGAGAUGAAGUCGGCUCUCUUGGGCAAAGUAUUGAAUACCAAAUGAAAUACUUUAAGAAGUGCUUUGGAGGUGUGAGAAGAUACAGAAGCCAGGAGAUAAGGGACCAAUUAU